AAAUAUGACUGCAGGGAAAAGAAGCUGGAGAGAACAGAAGGGGCUGUUUCCAAAGUGACCUACAGACAUUGGAAUGAAAUCAUUAUUUACUGUGUAAAAGAAUCACUCUCCAAAGCAUCAGCCAGGGUCUAAAUGUGCCAUUCUGCCUUUUAAAAGUACCAACAUCACAGGAUUUUUCUCAGAUUAAAGCUUCCAUGGAGUCGGAUCUCUCAAGCCUGGCCCUUGAGAAUUGUGGGCCUCCUGUGAACUGGUCUUGCCAGAAGGGCUUGCUGAGUUUUCCAUUGUGUGGAAAAGAGAUCCCAUUUGCAGCCUGAAGCCUCAUGUUUCCUGUAGGAUUUCCACUCCUAGAAUUGCACACUUUGAAGGAUUUCUUAUAGCAGAAGUUUUUUGGGAACUAGGACUCUGGCUGGAUUUGGGUCUCUGGACUCUCAGGUGAAGUGACCUUGAGACACUAGGGCGUGCAGAUUUCCUUGCUGUUGUAAAGAGCUAUUGUUCGCACCCAGGAGCCAUGGUCUGAAUGGGGGUGUCACCUCUUAAAUUUGCAAAUGUCACAGGAUUUCUUCUAAAUGAAUGGUGCUAAGAACAUAAGGUCUGGCUGGCUUUCGACUUAGAGGCGCCUCCUCUAAAUUGGUCUUCAGACGCUAGGUUGGAAAGUGUUCCUACAUAUGCCAAAUAGCCCUUGCUAUGCAAUUAAUAAGCUUCAAAUUACCAUGGAGUUGCUGCCCCUGCAAAGAUUUUGGCAGAGCCUGGUUGUGGUGCCCCACUCCACUCCACCACCCUUAGCAGGUCCUUAUGGUUGCAUGGGGAAUCAUCGUGGAGCAUGCCAACCCAGCUCCAUCCUGGGAACAGCACCUGUAUUUUACCCUAAAAUUUCUGUCCCAUUAUAGCUCCUGUUAGGAUACAAAUGUAACUUCUCGGUUUCCACUGAUUUUACCCCCAGUCAUCUUUCCAUACAGACAUUGCUCCACUCCCCAGAGGAUUAUUGUGAGCAGAUGUGAGCUCUGCUGUCCCUUUGGACUGACAAAGACAGAGGUUUUGUCCCAAGUUGCUUUUGAACCUGUCCUGCACCCGUUACGAGUCCUCAGUCUCCUGCAAUUUUGUGGGUCAGUCACAUGUAAAACAGCACAGCUGGCUGGCAUGCUUUGCUCAUGAGGGGAGACAAGAGAAGAAUCCCUCUGCUCACACCAGACCUGCAGCUGCCAAACCUCACCAAAGCACCUGAGGAGCCCCCAGGGACUGAUGGUACAGAAGGGAGGUGAUGGAGGACAGCACAGCAGGCAGCCUGCCCUCCAUCUGGCUGUGAAGAAGGCAGGGCUGGGAACUGUCAGCAACAUCCCAGCAGGUCUGGCUGAUGGUGCCACCCUGAGGGCUUCCCCUGCCUUUGGGCAGUCCCAGCUGCUGCAGCUCACUUGACAGAGACUCAUUGUCUAUACUGUGCUUGGCUGCACUGGAGAUGAUGAAGCCGAGGACAGCAAUGGUUGCCUUCACAUCCCCUGACUGCAGAUGGGAAGGAGGGCGAGCUCUGUCACCUUGGGAAGGCCUCUGCAGAGUCACUGCUGCCCGUCUCUGGAGCGUGGCUCCAUCGGGGGACCGUGGUAAGGACAGCAGUGCUCACCUAACUGCGCACCUGAGGACAGCUUCAGGACCUUGUCAUACUGUGGGAGAGCAGAGCUUCACAGUAAACACCAGCUAACACACUGACUGCCAGUGUUAACACUAACAGUUCUUACCUAAAUAUUAAUACUAGUAACACUUACUAUGCGUAUUAUUAAUCCUAGUAGAGGCUGGUAGCGUUCUUUAGGCUGAGGCUUGCAUGAAGAAUACAAAAUUAAUUAACGUUGCUGAUUAUGCUAUUGUGUUGAAAUACUUGGCCUCCACUGCGGUAGCCCCACGCUUACCUCGAUGGCCUCCCCCAGCAGGUCCCAAAACACCUGGAUGCAGAUCAGCUUAAGCUUCACUGAUGUGAUAAACAGAGUUCACUCUUUAUAAUUUUUAAAAUUUUAAUAAAGGAUAAAAGGACAAAAUAAUCCAGCACUGGGAUGCUUUUAGCACACAGCCAAAGAGCACAGAGGUAGCUUAAAAACAUGUUCACUAUAUACUGUUACAUUGCUGAGGUUACAGGCAUAUUCAUUAACUUACACAUUAUUCAAACAUUCCUUUGACUUUUUGAUGUUCCAGGAACUCUCUUGUUUGGUUUUAACCUCUGACUUGUCUGCAGAACGUUCUGUAAAUUAGGUCUACAUAUUUUAUUUCUUCCUGUAGUUUUAUCCUGUUGCUUCACACUCCCUGAUAACACUGGUAAGAGUCGAUAAAUCCUUCCUGGAUGCUUAA